rnacentral:rRNA from 1 species
AGUAAAUAGAUACCCAGGUAGUCCACGCUGUAAACGAUGAGUGCUGGACGUUGGCGGGUUUACCUGCCGGUGUCGCAGCUAAACGCGUUAAGCACUCCGCCUGGGGAGUACGGCCGCAAGGUUAAAACUCAAGGGAAUUGACGGGGGCCCGCACAAGCGGUGGAGCAUGUGGUUUAAUUCGACGCAACGCGCAGAACCUUACCAGCCCUUGACAUGGGCGGACGGGGUCCAGAGAUGGACUCUUUCUCGCAAGAGACCGCUACACAGGUGCUGCAUGGCUGUCGUCAGCUCGUGUCGUGAGAUGUUGGGUUAAGUCCCGCAACGAGCGCAACCCUCGUCUCCAGUUGCCAUCGGGUAGAGCCGGGCACUUUGGAG